CACGUAGGGCGCAAGCGUUGUCCGGAAUUAUUGGGCGUAAAGCGCGCGCAGGCGGCCUUUUAAGUCUGAUGUGAAAGCCCACGGCUCAACCGUGGAAGGUCAUUGGAAACUGAGAGGCUUGAGUACAGAAGAGGAAAGCGGAAUUCCACGUGUAGCGGUGAAAUGCGUAGAGAUGUGGAGGAACACCAGUGGCGAAGGCGGCUUUCUGGUCUGUAACUGACGCUGAGGCGCGAAAGCGUGGGGAGCAAACAGG
rnacentral:rRNA from 1 species